rnacentral:lncRNA from 1 species
AUGUUUGUCCCAGGACCCUACGCCAUUGCUCACCACCUUAUCUCGUCGUGGGCUUUCGAGGGAGCACCGAAGCUGCCUAGUUCAUUCUCAAACCUAUAAGCCUGGACCCUGGUGUUCAGACAGACGAUGACAGGAACUGGACCCCUGUGCUGCGGGCUCAUGGAUCACCUGUGUUGCCGUGAGUGUAAUUCUGAUAGUGUGUGUCCGUUGCCGGUUGUGAUAAAAUAAAAUAGCAAUAGAGUACUGGGUACAGAAGACUUGCCGGAGGAUUUGGCAUCAAUGGACAUGUAUAUCCAUUGCCUUUUUACAUGUUGAUCCU